GACAGAGGUCCCGAGCGUUAGGCGGAAUCACUGGGCUUAAAGCGUGUGUAGGCGGAUUUGUAAGUACCUUGUGAAAUCCCACGGCUUAACCGUGGAACUGCUUGGUAUACUGCUUAUCUUGGGCCAUCUAGGGGCUACUGGAACAAACGGUGGAGCGGUGAAAUGCGUAGAUAUCGUUGGAGCGCCAAUGGUGAAAACAAGUAGCUGGGGAUGUGCCGACGCUGAGACACGAAAGCCAGGGGAGCAAACGGG
rnacentral:rRNA from 1 species